AAUACAAAUUUAAUUAACAGUUGCUUGUUGUAUUUUAGGUAAAAUUUUGAUAUAUUGUAUAAAGGUUGUUUGUGUUAUUAAAUUUUAGUGAGCGAAUUAGAUUAGUACCUAAUUAGUUAAAAUUUAAAUAUUCAGGAGUAGAGUAGUGUUUAAACUGAAAGAAUUUUGGCAGAUUUUCUAAAUUAUCUUUGGAGGUUGAGCAAUAAUUGAGAACCCCCAUUAACUACUUAAUUUUUUGGCUCAUGUAUGAUCGUUUUUUUUAAGUUUAGGAUUUAAAAGUUUAGUAAUAAACUGUAAAAAUAGAUAUAUAUUUGGUCUAUAAGGUAAGUAAAGGUUUGGCCUACAAUAUAGUAAUAUGUGGAUUAGUAAUAUGGUGUUACUGUGAAAUUGUAAAAGACAGUAAAAAAAUUUUUAUGUUUUUUUGAAGAU
rnacentral:rRNA from 1 species